AAAGAAAAAAACGCCUCUCGAACCUCCAAUUCCUUCAAUGGCUUUCCUCAGACGUUCAACAAAACGUAAUGGUGAGUAUUUUACAAUUCCAAACGCAAUUUACCCUUCCAUUCUUAAUUUAAUUUUCAAUUUGAUUUCAAUUUUCUGAUUGAUUUGUUCAAAUAAAAGGGGAUUCAGAUGAUGGAUUCAUUUGAUUUCAAUUUCUGAUUGAUUUAUUCAAAUAAAAGGGGGAUUCAGAGAGAGAUCAUUUGAUUUCAAUUUUCUAAUUGAUUAUAAAAAUUUCUGAUUGAUUUUAUUCAAAUAAAAGGGGGAUUCAGAUGAUAGAUCAUUUGAUUUCAAUUUUCUAAUUGAUUAUAAAAAUUUCUGAUUGAUUUAUUCAAAUAAAUGGGGGAUUCAUUUGAUUUCAAUUUUCUGAUUGAUUUAUCAUCCUCGGGGCAAAUGGAUUCCGAUGCUACCCCGGAGAAUUCGUCGAUUUCGAUGGCUGAUGAUGAGGUUGACAUGGGUUGUCAUAGGUGAAGAACAUCAGCUGAUGGAGAGGAGAAGUUGAGAAUGAAUGAAUGUCAACUGCACUAGGGAGUCAAGCAAUGAGGGAGCCAAGAGUUGCAGUUCAAACAACACGUGAUAUUGAUAUCAUAGAUGAUGGGUAUAGAUGGAGAAAAUAUGGUCAGAAAGUGGUUAAAGGAAAUCCUAAUCCAAGGAAGGGCGCCCACUCCGCCCAGGUUUGAAACAAGCUGCUGAUUAUAUUAAAGAGAAGCUGGAGUUGCUGAAGAAUCGAGCCAACUCGAACUUUAGAUAUUCAUGGCGAGUUGACUCUGGCUCAAUACCGAACUCGAGCUUCCUCCGUCAUUUCUGGAAUAUUAGGGGUUUUUUAUUUCAAUCAAAUUCGAGGCGAAUAGGUCGGCGAAAUUGAAGCAGUGUAAGCUUGAUGCUCGCCGUGAACAAUGGCUUUUGCAAGAUUAAUGAAGGAAAGAUCUGAAAUUUUGAAAGAAAGGAGGAAGAUGAAGGUGAAAAUUAAAGAAAAACAGUCAUAGUCUGCAUUUGUCUCUUACAUGUGGUUUUUGUAUUGACAUGCCCUCUUUUACACUCAUGGAUGACGAUUUAGAAGAAGGUAUGGUAAAUAACACCCACUGAAAUAUCAUACUUACCUUUCUUUUCUGUUUGGGAGACUGAAUCUGCCUUGAGGUGUGUUCUUGAAUGAAUUCUAGAUAAAGCUGAUGAGGAUGAUUUUGCAAGAUCAUAUUUGGGCAUACAAUCUUUGAUCACAUUCGUAAAAAGGCCAAAGAUUUCCCUGCUGUGAAAAAAUCCAGUGUCAUUCACUCUCCUACGUCAGAAAUGUCAAACACUUCAGAAAGAUAACAUUUGGGCCAUCCUAACAUCAAUGAAGAUGCCACUGUUAAUCAAGACACUAUUGAUGUUUUAGAGUCCACAGGUUUUCGUGGGGAGUUUUAUUGCAGUUGGUUAGAGAGAAGUAAAGAUUGAGAAUCCUUCAAGUUUCACCAUUUUUGUGACUGCCUUUUCCGCCAUUUUUGAAUUCUUAUAUUCUCUCUCCUCUGGUGCAGGACUUGCGGCUGAAUCAUCCUUCAAGUUUCACGGCAAAACAAGUGAUAGGGUAAUGAAAGAAAAAGGUGAAACACUUGGGUAGAGUUUUGUAUUCAGGCUAUUGGUUUUUUUUUUGUAAGCUUCUUUGUUUGGGCCCAAUAUUUAAGCCCAAUGUUUUCCUUUAAUGGGUUUACGUUGGCAUCAUUAUGUUAAGUUUCUAUCACUGCAUAACUACUUUUAUUCAGCUACAUAAUUUAUUCUUAGGUGAUAUAGAUAUUCAUGGGUAGUGUAAUUUAAUGUAAUUCGGUUUUUAUGUCUCUUCUGAGACAUCUAGAAUUAACAGCAAUAUGUUGUGUGAUUUAAUAUAAUUCUAUUUUUAUUUUGAAAUGUUA